rnacentral:rRNA from 1 species
CAUGCAUGUCGAACGCUCCGCAUGGAGAGUGGCAUACGGGUGAGUAACGCGUGAGAACCUUCCUAUCGGUUCGGAAUAGCUCGCGUGAAACUUGGGGUAAUACCGGAUAUUCCCUACGAGGGGAAAGAUUGAUCGGCAAUAGAUGGGCCCGCGUCUGAUUAACUAGUUGGUGAGGUAACGGCUCACCAAGGCGACCAUCAGUAUCUGGUUUGAGAGAAUGACCAUCCACACUGGGACUGAAACACGGCCCACACUCCUACAGGAGGCAGCAGUGGGGAAUCUUGGACAAUGUGCGCAAGCCUGAUCCAGCCAUGCCGCGUGAGUGACGAAGGGCUUAUGGUUGUAUAGCUCUUUUACCACGUAAGAUAAUGACGGUACCUGCAGAAUAACCCCCGGCUAACUUCGUGCCAUCACCCGCGGUGAUACGAAUGGGGCUAGCGUUGUUCCGAAUUACUGGGCGUCAAGAGCACGUAUGCCGAUCAUUUAGUCACGGGUGAGAUCCCGGGGCUCGACCUCAGAACUGCCUUUGAGGCUGAUGGUCUCAAGUCCCGAAAACGUGAGUGGAAUCCUAGUGUAGACGUGAUAUUCCUAAAGCUCAAGAACAAGUGCAGUGGCCAAUGCAUUUCAUUGAUUCGGUACUGAGCCUCAGGUGUCAAAGCGUGGGAAGCAUACAGGAUUAGAUACCCUGGUAAUCCACACGCUAGACUACGGAUACUAUCCAUCGGCUACCGCGCGUAG